UAUUUAAUAUAUUUAGCAAAAAAAUAAACAAAAACAAUUAUUGUGUGGUGAAUCGUUUAAUUAUAAUGUUCAAAACAACAAACAAAUAAUUUUGAUUGUAUAUAAGAAUUAUGCUAGACAGAUAAAGGUUGGUACGUAACCCUUCUAACGGCAAUGAAUAACUUCAAAAUGUUAAUAAAUGUAAAUGCCAGCGUUAAUUAUAGAUUUGAGCCACUUGGAAUAAAGUGUUUGGCACAUAGCAGAAUCCUAAAAAUUUGUAUUCGCCACGGAGCACCUAAUUUUAUGAUUCAUUUGGCCUAAAAUAUUUUUGGUUAUCCGAAAUUUCAGACUUUCUUACUGGAAAAUAAAGAAGCACCGUGAAUUUCUUCUCGUUCCAAAUAGUGAAUAUGCGCUCUGCUAAAACUAAAAAGUUCAAAAUAUAAAUCGUAGCAUCAAGUUAUAAAACCACGCUGCCCAGCUCUCCACAAUAACCAAGGUGAUCAAACUACUAACGGUGAGCAUCAAAAGCAAAUCUUUAUAAUCUAACCAAUUUUCCUUAAAAAUAGAAUUAAGAAGGCUCAAA
rnacentral:lncRNA from 1 species